AGUUACGCUUCUAGCUAUAUGCCCUGAUGCUCUCCCAUUGUGCCUAUUUGGGACCGCUUUUGGAGACACGAUGGAACAAGUCAGGACGGCUGGACAUGACCUAAAAAUCGUAACUGUCCUGCUGAAAUCAGGAAUGGUUGGGAUGCCUGGCUUACGAUUCUACUCCUCGCUGAACGGAAAGGAUAUAGAGGGAGGACAGGC